CCUAUGGGAGGCAGCAGUAGGGAAUCUUCCACAAUGGACGCAAGUCUGAUGGAGCAACGCCGCGUGAGUGAAGAAGGGUUUCGGCUCGUAAAGCUCUGUUGUUGGUGAAGAAGGACAGGGGUAGUAACUGACCUUUGUUUGACGGUAAUCAAUUAGAAAGUCACGGCUAACUACGUGCCAGCAGCCGCGGUAAUACGUAGGGUGCAAGCGUUAUCCGGAUUUACUGGGUGUAAAGGGAGUGCAGGCGGUAAGUCUGAUGUGAAAGCCUGGGGCUCAACCCCAGAAUUGCAUUAGAAACUGUCGAACUUGAGUACAGGAGAGGUAAGUGGAAUUCCUAGUGUAGCGGUGAAAUGCGUAGAUAUUAGGAGGAACACCGGUGGCGAAGGCGGCUUACUGGACUGUUACUGACGCUGAGGCUCGAAAGCGUGGGGAGCAAACAGGAUUAGAUACCCUGGUAGUCC
rnacentral:rRNA from 1 species